UGUCUCUUGGAAUUCUGCAACACAUUCAGUAUAAGGCAGACCCAGUCACUGGCCCAGCUAACUCCAUUUUCUCCCUUGUUGAGUCCUUUCACCUCUUUACUGCAUUUUUCUUUGAGUCACUCUUGCCAUUGUCUUCAAUUCUAGGAAUAGAUUUGAUUGACAGGGACCAGAACUACCCCUAAGCAACUGUGAGCCUCUGGAAUAGAUUACCCAUGAUGAAACUACCCCCUAGGUAGGAGCAGUUUCCCCACCAUAGAGAUGGAGGCUGCUUACCUUGCAGGGGCCAUCAUCUCAUGAUGAGAGACAGAUUGCCUCCAGGCUUUGCAGAGCCAGUCCUGAGAAAAUCAUCAGCCAGACUACAGCUUGACCACAACCUCCUAUCCUGCAUCUGUGCAUAACCCCCACCCAUACAAACCCCUACCCUUGGCUUUUUUCCUGUAGAACUUCAAAGCACCUGUCAAUCCCUCAAAGACAGACCUUGAGUUCCUGAACCUCUGUAUCCAUCCUUCCUGGUGUGGCCAAGCUGGCGAGCCAACAACAAAGGAGCCUGAGGAGUUCCCCAUUGGUAUCUUCAAUGUCUGUUCUCAGAAUAUUUGAGAAACAUGCCGAGUAUAGGAGCCUGUGCCAUACCCGGCAGCCGGGAAUGAGAAGGCAGGACCAGCUGACCAGACAAGCCUCUCUCCUUGAUGUUCUGUCUGCUGCUCUUGGACUGGCUGCUGCUCAGCAUUCUCAUCUUGAAGACAAGAAAUAAAAACAGUUCCUGGAUCCUGGGGAGGGGGUGAUGGACAGAGUUAAUGAAUUAAAGUACUUGAAAAU